rnacentral:snoRNA from 1 species
AUAGAUGGCGAGGAUUAUGGAUUAUGGGUUAUAGAACUGUUAUCUAUUUACAUGGGAGGCUGGGGAAAGACGCGUCGAGGGCGAAUACAGCAAAAAAGUGCAGGGUGGGGUCACGUCAAGGCCGUGUGAAGCCGUUUAAUCCAGCGGACGAGCAACAGAGAAGCAGAAGAUAGAGGGAGAUUAGAUUGUUGGAGAUUGACGACGGACCAGCCAGUCUAUUCAACAUCCCUCGCCGCAGCCGCUGUCAUACGCUGCGGGUCGGAGCGGGUAGCUGGAGCUGAUGGCUUGCGCCAAUAAACCCGGUUACUGUUCACAAUCGGCCCA